GACAUUUUGAAGGUUUUGUUGAUUGGAAGAAGUUUUUCUAAAAUCCCAUCCAUUGAUCUCAAAGACUUAAAGAAAAUUCAAUUAGGACCUUGGAGACACAGAAGGUGACCCCAUCCCUGAUUUUUGCUGUCUGUUACAAAAAUCGGCUUUUUCCAGUUUGGCUACAACACUGGUGCCAUCAAUGCUCUGGAGACUAUCAUAAAAAACUUUCUCAACUGCACUUCGGAAGAAAAGUUAGAAGACCUUCCCAGUACAAUGUUGCUCACAACCCUCUGUCCUUGUCUGUGGCCAUCUUCUCUGUUAGUAGUAGGAUGGCCUCCUUUUUGGUGGACUCUUUGUCUACUGUUUUGACAGGUGCAAUUUUCAGUGCUUAUGGUCAUCCUGUUGACCAUUGCUAGUGGCUGCCUCAUGGGGUUCUGCAAGAUUGUUAUGUCAGUUGAGAUGUUAAUCCCUGUGUCGCUUGGUUAUUGGCAUUUUCUGCAGACUCUCCACAGGUUUACUGCCCAUGUACAUUGGAACAGUAUUUUCCCCUGAUCUGCAGGGUGCCUUUGGCACUCUCAACCAGCUGGGGAUCAUCAUUGGGAUUCUAGUGGCUCAAAUCCUUGGUCUGGAAGUCAUCCUGGGAUCUGAAGAACUCUGGUCUGUGCUGUUGGGCUUAAAACUCAUUCC
rnacentral:lncRNA from 1 species